rnacentral:misc_RNA from 1 species
AAGUCGUAACAAGGUUUCCGUAGGUGAACCUGCGGAAGGAUCAUUAACACAUUAAACGUUACCGGCACCCCUCAACAGGGUGUGCUCGGCCCGUUCAAACCCCCUGCGUACACGUACUUCUGUUGCUUCCCGUCCACUGCUUCGGCUUUGCGGCGGGGAGGUCUACCGAAACUCCUGUCUUCUCAUGCAGUCUGUAGAUGGCGGCUAGUCCGCGAAAACUAAAAAGUUAAAA